rnacentral:lncRNA from 1 species
GAAAGGAACGGGACGGCGCUGCAUGUCUCUGCGGUCAUCUCGGAGGCACCAGCCUUGAUGCCCGGACUGAGCUCUUGAGAAACCUAACACCUCAAACCGCCCCGUUAAUACAACAUUCGAGAUGUCGUCGUUUAAAGUCAAGAGCCAGAACGUAACAGCGGCAGCGGCUGAAGAUCUGGGCACAGGGUUCUUGACCGAGGACAAAUCAGCGGUACCCGGGACUUGCAUCUGCCGGUCCUGUGAUCCGCAGAGGGGGAGCCGCGACAAGCCGGGGGUGAACGCCUACCCUUCAGAGCAGGGCAACGGGGGACAAUCGGAGCACCACCGUCUUAACCUCAAGUCAAUGCAGAUCUCCCUUCGCCCGCCUCGGGUGCAGCGCCGGUUCCGCUGA